rnacentral:lncRNA from 1 species
UGAACCCACAUACCCUUUUCCCUUCAAGAUGAAGAUUCAAGGCUCAGAGGGAAGAAACUUCCCAGGCAUCAUACAGUUGGUCAGUGUUAGAGCCAGAAUUUAAAGUCCACUCUGUUAUACCGUUCUGAUAUUCUAAUCACUUUGAUUCCCUGCUGUUCCUGCCCAAGGCUCCUGCAGAUGCCAGGCACCUCUUAUGCUCAGUCAAGGAAGGUCUGUCAGCUUCUAUCAGCACAAAGGAGCAACCCAGUUAAGCAAGGUCAGAAGACUCUGAGGCAGCAGACAACUGGGGAAAGGGGAGAAUAGAUAUCUAAAAUCUAAGAAAGACAGUGUUUAUCACUGACCGCUUACAUCAAGUUAUUGGGUGCCCUCAUUUAUUAUGUUAAAAUGGUUGCAGCUGAUGUGAAUUCAUCUAAAAGCAAAGGUAAGUGGCUGUUAAUGCCACUUGGCUUAAUAAUCUGAAAGUGGAAGAAACUCUUGAUGCUUACUGAGUUAAAGGAGUCUUUGUUCUUUGAGUCUUCUUUUCCUUAAAGAGCAAGCUGAUGUUCUCUUAAUCUAACUCUCAUCUCCUUUCAUGACCUUCAGUCUACUCAUGAUUUUCAAGGAGAAAAAUGAAAGACAGUACCAAACCAAACCAAAGCAAACAAACAAAGAAACCAAAACCACAGCCCCUGGGCUCUCUCUCUAGUCCCAUGAACAUCUACCACAAUUUACUCAGAAAAAGAGCCGC